rnacentral:tRNA from 1 species
GCACCUUUAGCUCAGUUGGUAGAGCACCUGACUCUUAAUCAGGGUGCCUAGGGUUCGAGUCCCUAAAGGUGCA